rnacentral:rRNA from 1 species
AUGCAACACCUCUUGAUUGGUUGCUCCUUCUCUCGCAUGGUGUGGCAUGAAGUAUUCUCCAGGCUACGGCUUACCAGCAGCAUACCUCUCGGCCAUGAGCCCUUCUUCGAUUGGUGGCAGGCAUCCACAUCCUCUGCCCCGGCUUCCCUUCGAAAAGGCACGGCCUCGCUUGUGAUCAUCGUCACCUGGACUCUCUGGAAGCAUAGAAAUGCUUGCACCUUUGACGGCAUCCGCCCAUCAGUUACCGAGGCCUCUCGUGCCGCUCUUGCCAGGGCAGAAAUGUGGGCCACGGCUGGCGCAAAAGGACUGCGCUCCUUCAUUUUUGAACCGCCUUGA